CCGACCGCGUUAAUCACCGCAGAGUCUGACUCACGUGGCUGCCUGCGCGGAAAGAAAAUAAAGGCGGCGUGGGGAAGUUCCCCGCGGGACUCGCUCCUGGCGGGGAUAUCGGGCCUUCAUCAGUCAUGCUGGGCAUAGAAACAUUUGGAAGCUGUUCAACUUUCCAUCCUCCCUUCAUGACAAGAACAACUAUCUCUGACACUGGCAAGUGUAUCAAAGAUGACUUCAUUUCUGCUGGAUAUAAUAAGGCUAUAACAAAGGAAUGAGUGAGAUGGCUCUAUCUAAAUUUGAUGAAUUUAACUAAAUCUUUUGUAUUAUCUUA